UUGCCUACGGGGCGCAGCAGUGGGGAAUAUUGCACAAUGGGCGAAAGCCUGAUGCGGCAACGCCGCGUGAAGGAAGAAGGCCUCCGGGUCGUAAACUUCUGUCCUUGGGGAAGAAGAACUGACGGUACCCAAGGAGGAAGCCCCGGCUAACUACGUGCCAGCAGCCGCGGUAAUACGUAGGGGGCAAGCGUUAUCCGGAUUUACUGGGUGUAAAGGGAGCGUAGACGGCGCGGCAAGUCUGAAGUGAAAGGCAGGGGCUUAACCCCUGAACUGCUUUGGAAACUGCCAUGCUAGAGUGCUGGAGG
rnacentral:rRNA from 1 species